rnacentral:rRNA from 1 species
CAGUCGCCGCGGGAAUACGAGGAGGGCAAGCGUUGUUCGGAAUUAUUGGGCGUAAAGGGUGCGUAGGCGGUUUGGCAAGUCUUGUGUGAAAUCUUCGGGCUCAACCCGAAGCCUGCACGAGAAACUGCCGGGCUUGAGUAUUGGAGAGGUGAGUGGAAUUUCCGGUGUAGCGGUGAAAUGCGUAGAUAUCGGAAGGAACACCCGUGGCGAAAGCGGCUCACUGGACAAUAACUGACGCUGAUGCACGAAAGCUAGGGGAGCAAACAGGAUUAGAUACCCCCGUAGUCCCUGUCUCUUAUAC